rnacentral:rRNA from 1 species
AUGCAUUCAAAGAGUGCGUAACAGCUCACUGGUCGAGUGGGGGCGCGCCGACAAUGCGCGGGGCUCAAGCACGGCGCCGAAGCGGCGGAAUCAUUUAUUUGAUUGGUAGGGGAGCUUUCCAUGCCGGGCGAAGCCGGAGGCGCGAGCCCCGGUGGACGGCAUGGAAGUGAGGAUGCAGGCAUGAGUAGCGAGAGAGCGGCGAGAAACCGCUCCGCCGAAAACCCAAGGUUUCCUGGGCGAGGCUAAUCCCCCCAGGGUCAGCCGGGAGCUAAGGCGAGGCCGCAAGGCGCAGCCGAUGCACGACGGGCAGACAUUCCCGUGCCGGCGCGGGCGCGCUACGACCGAUGGGACGACGGGGAAGGAUACGCGAGCGGGGUUCUGGACGUCCCCGUGAAAGCGCGUAGGGAGGGGCCCAGGGAAAUCCGGUCCCCACAUAUCCCGAGACGCGAGACGAGCCGCACGGCGAAGUCGCGGAUUCCAUGCCUCCUAGAAAAAUCCCUAGGCAGCGCCCACGCCGCCCGUACCAAAACCGACACAGGUGGGUAGGAAGAGCAUUCCGAGGCGAUCGGGGCAACCAUGGUCAAGGAACUCGGCAUAAUCGUCCCGUAACUUAGGGAGAAGGGACGCCCCCCAGCGUGUACCGGCUCGCCCGGGAAGCGCCGGGGGGCCGCAGCGAAAGGGCCCAAGCGACUGUUUACCAAAAACACAGGACUCUGCCAAGCCGCGAGGCGAAGUAUAGGGUCUGACGCCUGCCCGGUGCCGGAAGGUCACGGGGAUCCGUUAGCCUUUGGCGAAGCGGUGAACCCAAGCCCCGGUAAACGGCGGCCGUAACUAUAACGGUCCUAAGGUAGCGAAAUUCCUUGUCGGGUAAGUUCCGACCUGCACGAACGGCGCAACGACUUGGGCGCUGUCUCGACCAUGGGCCCGGCGAAAUUGCAUUAUCCGUGAAGAUGCGGAUUCCCCGCGGAAGGACGGAAAGACCCCGUGAACCUUUACUGCAGCUUGGCAUUGGCCGCAGGCGCGGCGCGUAGAGGAUAGGCAGGAGGCUGCGAAGCCCGGGCGCCAGCCCGGGCGGAGCCGACCUUGGAAUACUGCCCCCGUCGCGUCGGCGGCCUAACCCGGGGACGGCCCGGGGACCGUGCCAGGCGGGCAGUUUGACUGGGGCGGUCGCCUCCCAAAGAGUAACGGAGGCGCGCGCAAGGUCCGCUCAGGACGGUCGGCAACCGUCCGCGGAGCGCAAGAGCACAAGCGGGCCUGACUGCGAGGCAGACAAGCCGAGCAGGGACGAAAGUCGGCUCUAGUGAUCCGGCGGCCCCGAGUGGAAGGGCCGUCGCUCAACGGAUAAAAGGUACUCCGGGGAUAACAGGCUGAUCUUGCCCAAGAGUCCACAUCGACGGCAAGGUUUGGCACCUCGAUGUCGGCUCAUCGCAUCCUGGGGCUGGAGCAGGUCCCAAGGGUUGGGCUGUUCGCCCAUUAAAGCGGUACGCGAGCUGGGUUCAGAACGUCGUGAGACAGUUCGGUCCCUAUCCUCCGCGGGCGCAGGAGAAUUGAGGAGGGCUGCCCCUAGUACGAGAGGACCGGGGCGGACGGGCCUCUGGUGUCCCGGUUGUCGACCAACGGCACGGCCGGCUAGCCACGCCCGGAACGGAUAACCGCUGAAGGCAUCUAAGCGGGAAGCCGUCUCCGAGAUGAGUUCUCCCUUCGGUAAGCCCCCAUGUAGAACACGUGGUCGAUAGGCCGCAGCUGCAAGCGCCGCGAGGCGUUCAGGCGAGCGGUACUAAUAGGGCGAGCCCUUGCACC